GUAGGUGGCAAGCGUUGUCCGGAAUUAUUGGGCGUAAAGCGCGCGCAGGCGGUUCUUUAAGUCUGAUGUGAAAGCCCACGGGCUCAACCGUGGAGGGUCAUUGGAAACUGGAGAACUUGAGUACAGAAGAGGAAAGCGGAAUUCCACGUGUAGCGGUGAAAUGCGUAGAGAUGUGGAGGAACACCAGUGGCGAAGGCGGCUUUCUGGUCUGUAACUGACGCUGAGGCGCGAAAGCGUGGGGAGCAAACAGGAUUAGGUACCCUGAUAGUCCACGCCGUAAACGAUGAGUGCUAAGUGUUAGGGGGUUUCCGCCCCUUAGUGCUGCAGCUAACGCAUUAAGCACUCCGCCUGGGGAGUACGGCCGCAAAGGCUG
rnacentral:rRNA from 1 species